rnacentral:rRNA from 1 species
UGCGCCUUGCCAGCCCGCUCAGAAACUACAAAGGAAUUGGACGGGGGCCCGCACAAGCGGAGGAGCAUGUGGUUUAAUUCGAUGAUACGCGAGGAACCUUGCCUGGGACUUUAAAUGCUUAAUGACCGUACGUGGGAAACUGGUUAUUUCUUCGGACAUUUUGCAAGGUGCUGCAUGGUUGUCGUCAGCUCGUGCCGUGAGGUGUCGGGUUAAGUCCCAUAACGAGCGCAACCCCUAUUGUUAGUUGCCAUCAGGUCAUGCUGGGGACUCUAACAAAACUGCCCGCGUAAGCGUGGAGGAAGGUGGGGAUGACGUCAAAUCAGCACGGCCCUUACGUCCAGGGCUACACACGUGCUACAAUGGCCGGUACAGAGGGCAGCCACUUGGUGACAAGGAGCAAAUCUCAAAAGCCGGUCUCAGUUCGGAUCGGAGUCUGCAACUCGACUCCGUGAAGUUGGAUUCGCUAGUAAUCGUAGAUCAGCAAUGCCACGGUGAAUACGUUCCCGGGCCUU